GCUCCCCGCGCCUCCGUCCUGCUUCUCCCGGCCGGGGCGGAUCCUCCGCAGACCUCGCUGGCGCGAAGGCCCGGCUUCUCCUGCCGGGAGCCCUUGGGCCCCGCGCAGCCGGCAGCUGCAGGGCCGAGUUCCCGGUCCGGGCGCCGGUGGUGCCGGGAGGCGCUCGGGCGGGACAGCGCGUGUGAGGGUGUCGGCGAAGCACGCAGAGCCCAGUCCUUCUAUCGGAUAUGAAUAUAGCUACUGUGCAUCUCUCCACGAAAUAUAAAUUUUCCAACGAGGCGGCAAGGGUCUUUCGCCUGAGGGGUACUGUAAUCUUCAAGCAUCCCAGAAUCCCCUGACAUCCUUGAGGCCAGAAAUUCAUUCCUCUGGGAAUCCAUAAGGCAAAGCUGGGUCACCAUUGUGAAGCAGGUCGACGGAAGAAUCACCUGCAGGCUAGACACUCUCACCUCACCUCUGUCUUCGCUGGCGGGAUUGAGUUGGGCUGUUGAAGACCAGCUGACACAAGCCUAUUGGUGGACGGAGGGCUUUGAACUCCUGGAAAUUUUGAGUCCUUCUCUGAACGCUCCUCCCCUCACAUUGCUGUAUCUGGGAGAGAGUUCUGGAUGCUGGUGCCACGUCCCUCAUAGCACCUGUAUGGCUUCGGCCGGGCCUUGGAUCCAGGCGGGCUGGAGUGGCCACCACCAGCAGAUCAUUCGGAGAAACAUCUUGGCCGUGAGAACUCUGCAACAGGAGGAGGGAGGAGACGUCCAGCUGCCUCUUCUUGCCAGAGCUUCGCCUGUGGAAGUAGCACUCCUGGGUGAGGGAGGGGUGUUCUGGAACGGCAAAGUCAUUGACAUCAUCAAGUUGUGCUGCUGGCCUCAGACAGAUUCCUGGCAAAGGCCACCUCCCACCAGGGUCCCCUGACCUAAAACUAGUGGAAGCUCUCAAAUCAGAAUUAGCCAUUACUCCUUUCUUCCAAAUA